rnacentral:rRNA from 1 species
CCUACGGGAGGCAGCAGUAGGGAAUCUUUCACAAUGGGCGAAAGCCUGAUGGAGCAACGCCGCGUGCAGGAUGAAGGCCUUCGGGUUGUAAACUGCUUUUAUAAGCGAGAAAUAUGAUGGUAACUUAUGAAUAAGGAUCGGCUAACUACGUGCCAGCAGCCGCGGUCAUACGUAGGAUCCGAGCAUUAUCCGGAGUGACUGGGUGUAAAGAGUUGCGUAGGUGGCAUAAUAAGUAGCUAGUGAAAUCUGGUGGCUCAACCAUUCAGACUAUUAGCUAAACUGUUAAGCUCGAGACCGUUAGGGGUAACUGGAAUUUCUAGUGCAGGAGUGAAAUCCGUAGAUAUUAGAAGGAACACCAAUAGCGUAGGCAGGUUGCUGGGACGGUUCUGACACUAAGGCACGAAAGCGUAGGGAGCAAACGGGAUUAGAUACCCCAGUAGUC